AGCUUAUAGAAUUUUUUGUAAGUAUUUUCUGCCCGGUGAUUUUAUUUAACGGCCGCGGUACUUUGACCGUGCAAAGGUAGCAUAAUCAUUUGUCUUUUAAAUGAAGACUUGUAUGAAUGGAGUGACGUAUAAUCUAUUGUCUCUUUUCUCUUUAUUGAAUUUUCUUUUUAAGUGAAGAAGCUUAAAUUUAUUAAAAAGACGAGAAGACCCUAUUGAGUUUUAUUUUUUUAUUAACAUUUUCUUAUUUUUUUUUUAUAUAUUAAAAUUUAGUUGGGGCAACUGAGGAAGAUUAAAUUUUCUUUUUUUUUAUUUUGAUCCGAUAUUAUCGAUAUUAAGAAUAAAUUACCAUAGGGAUAACAGCGUAAUCCUUUUAGAGAGUUCUUAUUAAUAAAAGGGUUUGCGACCUCGAUGUUGGACUAAAAUUUCCUAAGGGUGUAGAAGUUCUUAAGGGUGGGUCUGUUCGACCUUUAAAAUUUU
rnacentral:rRNA from 1 species